CACAGAAGGAUAGGGAAUCGCACGAAUGGAAAUGUGCGUCCAAGCAGUGAGUGUGAGAAGUAGGCAAAUCCGCUUCUCGCGAAGCAUGAGCUGUGAUGGGGAAGGAAAUUAAGUACGGAAGUUCCUGAUUUCACGCUGUCAAGAAAAGCCUCUAGGAAGAGUAGUACUGCCCGUACCGCAAACCGACACAGGUAGAUGAGGAGAGAAUCCUAAGGUGAGCGAGAGAACUCUCGUCAAGGAACUCGGCAAAAUGACCCCGUAACUUCGGGAGAAGGGGUGCUCUAUUAGGGUGCAAGCCCGAGAGAGCCGCAGUGAAUAGGCCCAGGCGACUGUUUAGCAAAAACACAGGUCUCUGCAAAACCGUAAGGUGACGUAUAGGGGCUGACGCCUGCCCGGUGCUGGAAGGUUAAGAGGAGUGCUUAGCUUCGGCGAAGGUACGAAUUGAAGCCCCAGUAAACGGCGGCCGUAACUAUAACGGUCCUAAGGUAGCGAAAUUCCUUGUCGGGUAAGUUCCGACCCGCACGAAAGGCGCAACGAUCUGGGCACUGUCUCAACGAGAGACUCGGUGAAAUUAUAGUACCUGUGAAGAUGCAGGUUACCCGCGACAGGACGGAAAGACCCCGUGGAGCUUUACUGCAACCUGAUAUGGAAUGUUUGUACCGCUUGUACAGGAUAGGUAGGAGCCGAAGAGACGUGUGCGCUAGCAUACGAGGAGGCAAUGGUGGGAUACUACCCUGGCUGUAUGACCAUUCUAACCCGCCACGCUUAGCGCGUGGGGAGACAGUGUCAGGUGGGCAGUUUGACUGGGGCGGUCGCCUCCUAAAGAGUAACGGAGGCGCCCAAAGGUUCCCUCAGAAUGGAUGGAAAUCAUUCGUAGAGUGUAAAGGCACAAGGGAGCUUGACUGCGAGACUGACAAGUCGAGCAGGGACGAAAGUCGGGCUUAGUGAUCCGGUGGUUCCGCAUGGAAGGGCCAUCGCUCAACGGAUAAAAGCUACCCCGGGGAUAACAGGCUUAUCUCCCCCAAGAGUCCACAUCGACGGGGAGGUUUGGCACCUCGAUGUCGGCUCGUCGCAUCCUGGGGCUGUAGUCGGUCCCAAGGGUUGGGCUGUUCGCCCAUUAAAGC
rnacentral:rRNA from 1 species